rnacentral:rRNA from 1 species
GACGAACGCUGGCGGCGUGCUUAACACAUGCAAGUCGAACGAAGUGGCGAACGGGUGAGUAACGCGUAAUCAACCUGCCCUUCAGAGGGGAACAACAGUCGGAAACGACUGCUAAUACCGCAUAGUGAAGGAGGGGAUUGCGUCUGACUAGCUAGGUGGAGGGGUAACGGCCCACCAAGGCGAUGAUCAGUAGCCGGUCGGAGAGGAUGAACGGCCACAAUGGGACUGAGACACGGCCCAGACUCCUACGGGAGGCAGCAGUGGGGAAUCUUCCGCAAUGGACGGAAGUCUGACGGAGCAACGCCGCGUUAGUGAUGACGGCCUUCGGGUUGUAAAGCUCUGUUAAUCGGGACGCGGUACCGGAAUAGAAAGCCACGGCUAACUACGUGCCAGCAGCCGCGGUAAUAC